rfam:[Eubacterium] eligens ATCC 27750 chromosome, complete genome.
UGUUAACAUAAUAUUUUGCCGUAGACAGCAGGUCCGGAUUCAGUAUUACUGAUGACGGUUAAAGGUAACACGCCUACCGAGGAUUUAAGGAUUUGAUUAAUUAUUCCCUCUCUGUCUUAGGCAGAGAGGGUUUUGUUUGUAGGGA